rnacentral:rRNA from 1 species
GAUGAACGCUGGCGGCGUGCCUAACACAUGCAAGUCGAGCGAUUCUCUUCGGAGAAGAGCGGCGGACGGGUGAGUAACGCGUGGGUAACCUGCCCUGUACACACGGAUAACAUACCGAAAGGUAUGCUAAUACGAGAUAAUAUGCUUUUAUCGCAUGGUAGAAGUAUCAAAGCUUUUGCGGUACAGGAUGGACCCGCGUCUGAUUAGCUAGUUGGUAAGGUAACGGCUUACCAAGGCGACGAUCAGUAGCCGACCUGAGAGGGUGAUCGGCCACAUUGGAACUGAGACACGGUCCAAACUCCUACGGGAGGCAGCAGUGGGGAAUAUUGCACAAUGGGCGAAAGCCUGAUGCAGCAACACCGCGUGAGCGAUGAAGGCCUUCGGGUCGUAAAGUUCUGUCCUCAAGGAAGAUAAUGACGGUACUUGAGGAGGAAGCCCCGGCUAACUACGUG